UACGGGGGGAGCAAGCGUUGUUCGGAUUUACUGGGCGGAAAGGGCGCGUAGGCGGUCAGCACAAGUCAGUUGUGAAAUCUCCGGGCUUAACUCGGAAAGGUCAACUGAUACUGUGCGACUAGAGUGCGGAAGGGGCAACUGGAAUUCUCGGUGUAGCGGUGAAAUGCGUAGAUAUCGAGAGGAACACCUGCGGCGAAGGCGGGUUGCUGGGCCGACACUGACGCUGAUGCGCGAAAGCCAGGGGAGCGAACGGG
rnacentral:rRNA from 1 species